UGAAGAAAUCUGUUGCUGGCAAGAUAGCUCGGGAGUCAAAGACACUUCUCCACCAUUCUGGUUCGAAGCCCUUUUCAUAUAGGCUUCAGACACGACGUCAGGAGGGUUCUAAGUUCCCAGAGAUCGACAUGUUCGAGGACGUUUACGUUCGACCUGGAGAUGAGACCGCUGGGCAGCUUCAUGCUCUUAUGGUGGAAAAGAGCACUACUGUUCUCCAAGAAGCAACAUCGCAACUUCCCCCGGAGACCCCAAUUGAGGACGUCACAGUACCUGAUGAUGCAGGUUUUCAAAUUUUGACUGAUGUCCUAGAUCAGAACUUCG